UACGUAGGGGGCUAGCGUUGUCCGGAAUCAUUGGGCGUAAAGCGCGUGUAGGCGGUCCGGUAAGUCCGCUGUGAAAGUCGAGGGCUCAACCCUCGAAUGCCGGUGAAUACUGUCGGCUUGAGUACGGAGAGGCGAGUGGAAUUCCUGGUGUAGCGGUGAAAUGCGCAGAUAUCAGGAGGAACACCGAUUGCGAAGGCAGCUCGCUGGAACGUUACUGACGCUGAGACGCGAAAGCGUGGGGAGCAAACAGG
rnacentral:rRNA from 1 species